rnacentral:rRNA from 1 species
GUGAAAUCCNUUCGGGCUCAAACCGGGGAAUGCGUCGGAUACUGGGUGGCUUGAAUCCGGGAGAGGGACGUGGAAUUCCAGGUGUAGCGGUGAAAUGCGUAGAUAUCUGGAGGAACACCGGUGGCGAAGGCGGCGUCCUGGACCGGUAUUGACACUGAGGAGCGAAAGCCAGGGGAGCAAAAGGGAUUAGAUACCCCUGUAGUC